UACAGAGGGUGCGAGCGUUGUCCGGAAUCACUGGGCGUAAAGGGCGCGUAGGCGGCCAUGCGUGUCUUCCGUGAAAUCCCUCGGCUUAACCGAGGACGUGCGGAAGAAACUGCAAGGCUCGAGUCCGGAAGAGGGGGGCGGAAUUCCCAGUGUAGCGGUGAAAUGCGUAGAUAUCAGGAGGAACACCGGUGGCGAAGGCGGGUCUCUGGGCAACAACUGACGCUGAGGAGCGAAAGCGUGGGGAGCGAACAGG
rnacentral:rRNA from 1 species